UUUUGCACUCUGACAACCCGCAAUGGGUAGAACCCUUCCUGUGUAUUGUUGAGAGCAAGAAUUCCGGGCCCUCCCAUUUUAGAGUAUUCUGUGCAGGCAGACAGAGUCUGUCCCGGGCAACCCCUGUGGCCAACCCAGAACUGGGGGCUUCUUCAAGACCUUACUCAAAAUACCUGUCUGUGUUGGAAGAAAGCCCUACAGACUGAGGAAACUUAGACUACUCCACCCUUUCCAGCUGUUGCCAAACAGAUAACACUGAUACUGAAGAACUUAUAGAGGACGUGAAAAAUGCUUGAGUAAAAAUGUUGAACAAAUAUGUGAAUCAAUAUGUAUCCCAAGAUUGCAGCUGCUACAAUGUUCUUGGAGAGGAUGGCCACUCACACAAGAUGAUUAUCCUAAACUUGGUUAGUUUACUAGUGGAUGUGCUUUGUUGGGCUCACCUGGGAAAUUCAAAGGCCUUACUCAUAUUAUUUCUCUGGGAAAAAAUGGUUCUCAGGUAUGAGUAAUUUACAAAUGAACUUUUGGAAUACCACAGGAUAGUUUAGUACUGCAGUGGAUAGAGCAUUGGAUUUGGAACCAAGAAGACAUGAAUUUAAAUCCUGCUUCAGACAUAUCCUAGCACUUCAACCAUGGACAAGUUACUGUCCUCAACUAUAAAAUGAGAAGAAUAACACUUAUUUUUCAAGAUUGCUAUGAGCUUCAAAUGAGAUAACUUGACAAAAUUUAAAGUACUAUGAUGAUGCUAAACACUAAUCAAUGUAUAAAUUAGGGAUAACUGUAUUUCAUUUCUUCCAGUGAUUCAUGAUCUCCAUUGGUGCAGAUCACAAUAUAUUUAUCUCAUUUUAUCCUCAGUAAUUCUUGCCCAGUCUUUCCAUAAAUUCUCUAAAGGAUAUAUCUAAAACUCUAGAGGCCUACUUUCAGUUUUUCAUGAACAUAUUUUUCAUGUACAAUAUUCAUAUACAAUUACCUAUCUCCUAUAUGAUCGGUUCCCUUCCUUUUUCCAUUAUACCUUUCCUAAAUGAUGUUAUUUACAUUAAAAGUUUAAAACAUUUUUUUUAUUUUUAUUUAAAGUUUUGACUUUCAAAUUCUGUCUCUCCAUCCCUUUCUCCUUCUCCCUCCAAACACUAAGCAAUCAGACAUAGCUUAUACAUAUGCAAUUGUGUAAAAUAUAUAAAUAUUAGUCAUUUUGUAUGAGAAUACUUGAAUAAAGG